rnacentral:rRNA from 1 species
UACGUAGGUGGCAAGCGUUGUCCGGAUUUACUGGGCGUAAAGAGCGCGCAGGCGGUCGGAUCAGUCGAAUGUGAAAGCCCCCGGCUCAACUGGGGAGGGUCAUUCGAUACUGUCCGACUCGAAGGCAGGAGAGGGAUGCGGAAUUCCAGGUGUAGCGGUGAAAUGCGUAGAUAUCUGGAGGAACACCGGUGGCGAAGGCGGCAUCCUGGACCGACACUGACGCUGAGGAGCGAAAGCCAGGGGAGCAAACGGG